rnacentral:rRNA from 1 species
UACAGAGGGUGCGAGCGUUGUUCGGAAUUACUGGGCGUAAAGGGCGCGUAGGCGGUCCUGUAAGUCCCGCGUGAAAUCCCCCCGGCUCAACUGGGGAACUGCGCGGGAAACUGUGGGGCUUGAGUUCGGGAGAGGGAAGCGGAAUUCCGGGUGUAGCGGUGAAAUGACGUAGAUAUCCGGAGGAACACCGGUGGCGAAGGCGGCUUCCUGGACCGACACUGACGCUGAGGCGCGAAAGCUAGGGGAGCAAACGGG